rnacentral:rRNA from 1 species
UACGUGAGGGGGCGAGCGUUGUCCGGAUUUAUUGGGCGUAAAGAGCGUGUAGGCGGCCAGGUAGGUCCGUUGUGAAAACUGGAGGCUUAACCUCCAGCUGUCGAUGGAAACCAUCUGGCUAGAGUCCGGAAGAGGAGAGUGGAAUUCCUGGUGUAGCGGUGAAAUGCGCAGAUAUCAGGAAGAACACCCGUGACGAAGGCGGCUCUCUGGGACGGUACUGACGCUGAGACGCGAAAGCGUGGGGAGCGAACAGG